CACGUAGUUAGCCGUGGCUUUCUCAUAAGGUACCGUCAAUUGAUAGUCAUUUCCUCCUAUCACCUUCCUUCCCUUAUAACAGAAUUUUACAACCCGAAGGCCUUCUUCAUUCACGCGGCGUUGCUCGGUCAGGCUUUCGCCCAUUGCCGAAGAUUCCCUACUGCUGCCUCCCGUAGGAGUCUGGGCCGUGUCUCAGUCCCAGUGUGGCCGUUCACCCUCUCAGGUCGGCUACGCAUCGUCGCCUUGGUAGGCCUUUACCCCACCAACUAGCUAAUGCGCCGCAGGCUCAUCCAUCAGUGAUGCCAGGAGCAUCUUUAAACUUUCGUCCUAUCCGGUAUUAGCGAUCGUUUCCAAUCGUUGUCCCCGUCUGAUGGGCAGAUCACCUACGUGUUACUCACCCGUUCGCCGCUUCCCACCGAAGUGGUUCGCUCGACUUGCAUGUAUUAGGCACGCCGCCAGCGUUCAUCCUGAGCCAGGAUCAAACUCU
rnacentral:rRNA from 1 species